rnacentral:rRNA from 1 species
GACGAACGCUGGCGGCGUGCUUAACACGUGCAAGUCGAACGAUGAAGCCGGAGCUUGCUCUGGUGAAUUAGUGGCGAACGGGUGAGUAACACGUGAGUAACCUGCCCUUGACUCUGGGAUAACUGCUAGAAAUGGUAGCUAAUACCGGAUACGACCCUCGGAGGCAUCUCCAGGGGGUGGAAAGAAUUUCGGUCAAGGAUGGACUCGCGGCCUAUCAGCUAGUUGGUGAGGUAAUGGCUCACCAAGGCGACGACGGGUAGCCGGCCUGAGAGGGUGACCGGCCACGCUGGGACUGAGACACGGCCCAGACUCCUACGGGAGGCAGCAGUGGGGAAUAUUGCACAAUGGGCGCAAGCCUGAUGCAGCAACGCCGCGUGAGGGAUGACGGCCUUCGGGUUGUAAACCUCUUUUAGUAGGGAAGAAGCGAAAGUGACGGUACCUGCAGAAAAAGCACCGGCUAACUACGUGCCAGCCGCCGCCGUAA